GAGCGGACAGAUGGGAGCUUGCUCCCUGAAGUCAGCGGCGGACGGGUGAGUAACACGUGGGCAACCUGCCUGUAAGACUGGGAUAACUCCGGGAAACCGGGGCUAAUACCGGAUAAUUCUUUCCCUCACAUGAGGGAAAGCUGAAAGAUGGUUUCGGCUAUCACUUACAGAUGGGCCCGCGGCGCAUUAGCUAGUUGGUGAGGUAACGGCUCACCAAGGCAACGAUGCGUAGCCGACCUGAGAGGGUGAUCGGCCACACUGGGACUGAGACACGGCCCAGACUCCUACGGGAGGCAGCAGUAGGGAAUCUUCCGCAAUGGACGAAAGUCUGACGGAGCAACGCCGCGUGAGUGAUGAAGGUUUUCGGAUCGUAAAACUCUGUUGUUAGGGAAGAACAAGUACCGGAGUAACUGCCGGUACCUUGACGGUACCUAACCAGAAAGCCACGGCUAACUACGUGCCAGCAGCCGCGGUAAUACGUAGGUGGCAAGCGUUGUCCGGAAUUAUUGGGCGUAAAGCGCGCGCAGGCGGUUCCUUAAGUCUG
rnacentral:rRNA from 1 species